rnacentral:rRNA from 1 species
UACGGAGGGUGCAAGCGUUGUCCGGAAUCACUGGGCGUAAAGGGCGCGUAGGCGGCUCAUGAAGGCUGUGGUGAAAGUCCGGGGCUCAACCUCGGAUCGGCCGUGGCGACUCGUGGGCUGGAGCACUGUAGAGGCGGGUGGAAUUCCGGGUGUAGCGGUGGAAUGCGUAGAGAUCCGGAAGAACACCAGUGGCGAAGGCGGCCCGCUGGGCAGUAACUGACACUCAACUGCGAAAGCGUGGGGAGCAAACAGG